rnacentral:tRNA from 1 species
GAGGCUGUAGCUCAACUGGUAGAGCACAUGCCUAGCAUGCAUGAUGUCAUGGGUUCAAUUCCCACUACUUCU